AGUGAACGCUGGCGGUAGGCCUAACACAUGCAAGUCGAACGGCAACACAGUAAGAGCUUGCUCUUACGGGUGGCGAGUGGCGGACGGGUGAGGAAUACAUCGGAAUCUACUUUUUCGUGGGGGAUAACGUAGGGAAACUUACGCUAAUACCGCAUACGACCUACGGGUGAAAGCAGUGGAUCUUCGGACCUUUCGCGAUUGAUUGAGCCGAUGUCGGAUUAGCUAGUUGGCGGGGUAAAGGCCCACCAAGGCGACGAUCCGUAGCGGGUCUGAGAGGAUGAUCAGCCACACUGGAACUGAGACACGGUCCAGACUCCUACGGGAGGCAGCAGUGGGGAAUAUUGGACAAUGGGCGCAAGCCUGAUCCAGCCAUACCGCGUGAGUGAAGAAGGCCUUCGGGUUGUAAAGCCCUUUUGUUGGGAAAGAAAAGCAGCAGGUUAAUACCCCGCUGUUCUGACGGUACCCAAAGAAUAAGCACCGGCUAACUUCGUG
rnacentral:rRNA from 1 species